rnacentral:rRNA from 1 species
GAUGAACGCUGGCGGCGUGCCUAAUACAUGCAAGUCGAGCGAACAGACGAGGAGCUUGCUCCUCUGACGUUAGCGGCGGACGGGUGAGUAACACGUGGAUAACCUACCUCUAAGACUGGGAUAACUUCGGGAAACCGGAGCUAAUACCGGAUAAUAUCUUGAACCGCAUGGUUCAAUAGUGUAAGACGGUUUUGCUGUCACUUAUAGAUGGAUCCGCGCCGCAUUAGCUAGUUGGUAAGGUAACGGCUUACCAAGGGAAGGAUGCGUAGCCGACCUGAGAGGGUGAUCGGCCACACUGGAACUGAGACACGGUCCAGACUCCUACGGGAGGCAGCAGUAGGGAAUCUUCCGCAAUGGGCGAAAGCCUGACGGAGCAACGCCGCGUGAGUGAUGAAGGUCUUCGGAUCGUAAAACUCUGUUAUUAGGGAAGAACAAAUGUGUAAGUAACUAUGCACGUCUUGACGGUACCUAAUCAGAAAGCCACGGCUAACUACGUG